UACAGAGGUCUCAAGCGUUGUUCGGAUUUACUGGGCGUAAAGGGCGCGUAGGCGGUCAGCACAAGUCAGUUGUGAAAUCUCCGAGCUUAACUCGGAAAGGUCAACUGAUACUGUGCGACUAGAGUGCGGAAGGGGCAACUGGAAUUCUUGGUGUAGCGGUGAAAUGCGCAGAUAUCAGGAGGAACACCAAUGGCGAAGGCAGCUCGCUGGGACGGUACUGACGCUGAGGCGCGAAAGCGUGGGGAGCAAACAGG
rnacentral:rRNA from 1 species